UACGUAGGGUCCAAGCGUUAAUCGGAAUUACUGGGCGUAAAGCGUGCGCAGGCGGUUGUGGAAGUCAGAUGUGAAAUCCCCGGGCUCAACCUGGGAAUUGCAUUUGAGACUGCACGGCUAGAGUGUGUCAGAGGGGGGUAGAAUUCCACGUGUAGCAGUGAAAUGCGUAGAGAUGUGGAGGAAUACCGAUGGCGAAGGCAGCCCCCUGGGAUAACACUGACGCUCAUGCACGAAAGCGUGGGGAGCAAACAGG
rnacentral:rRNA from 1 species